rnacentral:tRNA from 1 species
GCCUGGGUGGCUCAGUUGAAUGGGCAUCUGACUUCAACUCAGGUCAUGACCUCACAGCUCAUGAGUUCGAGUCCUGUGUCAGGCU